rnacentral:rRNA from 1 species
AGUGAACGCUGGCGGUAGGCCUAACACAUGCAAGUCGAACGGCAGCACAGUAAGAGCUUGCUCUUACGGGUGGCGAGUGGCGGACGGGUGAGGAAUACAUCGGAAUCUACUUUUUCGUGGGGGAUAACGUAGGGAAACUUACGCUAAUACCGCAUACGACCUACGGGUGAAAGCAGGGGAUCUUCGGACCUUGCGCGAUUGAAUGAGCCGAUGUCGGAUUAGCCAGUUGGCGGGGUAAAGGCCCACCAAGGCGACGAUCCGUAGCUGGUCUGAGAGGAUGAUCAGCCACACUGGAACUGAGACACGGUCCAGACUCCUACGGGAGGCAGCAGUGGGGAAGAUUGGACAAUGGGCGCAAGCCUGAUCCAGCCAUACCGCGUGGGUGAAGAAGGCCUUCGGGUUGUAAAGCCCUUUUGUUGGGAAAGAAAAGCAGCAGGUUAAUACCCCGCUGUUCUGACGGUACCCAAAGAAUAAGCACCGGCUAACUUCGUG